rnacentral:rRNA from 1 species
UACGUAGGGUGCGAGCGUUGCUCGGAAUCACUGGGCGUAAAGGGUGCGUAGGCGGGUCUUUAAGUCAGAGGUGAAAUCCUGGAGCUCAACUCCAGAACUGCCUUUGAUACUGAGGAUCUUGAGUUCGGGAGAGGUGAGUGGAACUGCGAGUGUAGAGGUGAAAUUCGUAGAUAUUCGCAAGAACACCAGUGGCGAAGGCGGCUCACUGGCCCGAUACUGACGCUGAGGCACGAAAGCGUGGGGAGCAAACAGG